rnacentral:rRNA from 1 species
CUACCGGGGUAUCUAAUCCUGUUUGCUCCCCACGCUUUCGCGCCUCAGCGUCAGUAUCGGUCCAGAGAGCCGCCUUCGCCACCGGUGUUCUUCCCAAUAUCUACGAAUUUCACCUCUACACUGGGAAUUCCACUCUCCUCUCCCGAACUCCAGCCCAUCAGUCCCAAGCGCAAUUCCCAGGUUAAGCCCGGGGCUUUCACGCCUGACUUGAUCGGCCGCCUGCGCGCCCUUUACGCCCAGUAAUUCCGAACAACGCUCGCCCCCUUCGUAUUACCGCGGCUGCUGGCAC